rnacentral:rRNA from 1 species
UACGAAGGGGGCUAGCGUUGUUCGGAUUCAUUGGGCGUAAAGGGUGCGUAGGCGGCGCGGUAAGUCGGGUGUGAAAACUUUGGGCUCAACCCAAAGCCUGCACUCGAUACUGCUGUGACUUGAGUCCGGUAGGGGAGUGGGGAAUUCCUGGUGUAGCGGUGGAAUGCGCAGAUAUCAGGAGGAACACCGGUGGCGAAGGCGCCACUCUGGGCCGGUACUGACGCUGAGGAGCGAAAGCGUGGGGAGCGAACAGG